CGGGGUGUAGCGCAGUUGGUAGCGUACUACGUUCGGGACGUAGGGGCCGGAAGUUCGAGUCUUCUCACCCCGACAA
rnacentral:tRNA from 1 species